rnacentral:pre_miRNA from 1 species
CAACUACUCCCUCUGUCCCAAAUUUCUUGUCUUAGAUUUGUCUAGAUACAGAUGUAUCUAAUACUAAAAUGUGACUUGAUACAUCUGUAUCUAGAAAAAUCUAAGACAAGAAUUUUGGGACGGAGGGAGUACUUU